UACGUAGGUGGCGAGCGUUGUCCGGAUUUACUGGGCGUAAAGAGCGCGCAGGCGGUCGUACAAGUCGCGUGUGAAAGCCCCCGGCUCAACUGGGGAGGGUCACGCGAUACUGUUCGACUCGAAGGCAGGAGAGGGAAGUGGAAUUCCCGGUGUAGUGGUGAAAUGCGUAGAUAUCGGGAGGAGCACCAGUGGCGAAGGCGACUUCCUGGCCUGUUCUUGACGCUGAGGCGCGAAAGCUAGGGUAGCAAACGGG
rnacentral:rRNA from 1 species